AGCUCCAAUAGCGUAUAUUAAAGUUGUUGCAGUUAAAAAGCUCGUAGUUGGAUUUCUGGUUUGAACGUCCGGUCCGCCUUCAACUUGUUUGUCGGUGCGUACUAUGGAUGUUUGGGCCAUUUUUUGUGAGGAAAUUCUUCUGCCAUUAAGUUGGUGGUUUUAUGGACUCGCAUCGUUUACUGUGAAAAAAUUAGAGUGUUUAAAGCAGGCGUUUGCUCAUUUGAAUACAUUAGCAUGGAAUAAUAAGAUACGACCUUGGUGGUCUAUUUUGUUGGUUUGCACGCCAGGGUAAUGAUUAAUAGGGACAGUUGGGGGUAUUCAUAUUUCAGCGUCAGAGGUGAAAUUCUUGGAUCGCUGAAAGAUGAGCUUAGGCGAAAGCAUUUACCAAGGAUGUUUUCAU
rnacentral:rRNA from 1 species